GACGAACGCUGGCGGCGUGCUUAACACAUGCAAGUCGAGCGGAAAGGCCCUUCGGGGUACUCGAGCGGCGAACGGGUGAGUAACACGUGAGUAACCUGCCCCAGACUUUGGGAUAACCCUCGGAAACGGGGGCUAAUACCGGAUACGACACAGCUUCGCAUGGGGUCUGUGUGGAAAGUUUUUCGGUUUGGGAUGGGCUCGCGGCCUAUCAGCUUGUUGGUGGGGUGAUGGCCUACCAAGGCGACGACGGGUAGCCGGCCUGAGAGGGCGACCGGCCACACGGGGACGGAGACACGGCCCAGACCCCUACGGGAGGCAGCAGGGGGGAAUAUGGCACAGGGGGCGGAAGCCUGAUGCAGCGACGCCGCGGGGGGGAUGACGGCCUUCGGGUUGUAAACCUCUUUCGGCGGGGACGAAGCGAAAGUGACGGUACCUGAAGAAGAAGCGCCGGCAAACUAGGUC
rnacentral:rRNA from 1 species